UGCCUUCGAGGGAUGGUCUAAGUCAGGCCUU
rnacentral:piRNA from 1 species